GGCGCACCUGGAGGGCCCAGGCUGCCCUUCUUCAUGCCUCCACCAGGACCUAAUCCCAAGCUAACCUUUGCCUUGCUUCAGCCCCAGUCUACACUCAAGACCAAAAGGUAUGGCUUUCAUCUAAGGACUUGCCCCUGACAGUGGUUUCCAAAAAAACACCUCCCUGAUUCAUUAGCCCCUUUGAGAUUGCUUGUGUCAUAAACCCCUCUGCUGUUCAUUUGAAAUCCCCAGACUCUCUCAAAACUCACCCCACCUUCCAUGUAUCCUUAAUUAAACCGGUCUGCUCCUGUCCCCUCCUGCAGCUCCUCCUCCACCCCUCGGCUCAUUGACGACCAUCUGCCUAUACCGUCCGGCGGAUUUUGGAUGUGCGCCAUCGGGGCCAAGGUUGGCAGUAUCUGGUGGACUGGGAAGGAUACAGGCCUGAGGAUCGCUGCUGGGUGCCCCGUCGUCACAUUCUGGAUCCCUCCCUCUUACAGGAUUUUCAUACCUCACACCCAGACAAGACGGGUCAUGCGCCAGGUGGCGUCCGUAGAGGGGGGCGUACUGUCACAUCUGCUUCUGCUACGCCCUCAGGUGUUCAUCCGGGGUCUUCUUGACCUGCAGUUAAUCCCCCUGUACAUUCUCUCUCUCCCUAUCCCUCUCUGUGUGAUUGUGCGGUUGGAGAAAGGUGUGCUGGAGUCAGAGCAGAUCCCUACCAGCUGCAACUCGUUCCAUAAUGAAGACUUCAACAAAUACUCAGUCCUGCCACUUGCACUCUGCCAGAUCGUAAUCUCUGCUCAUUACUGCUCUGCCUCUGGCUCCUGUCUCCUGUUCCACAUCUCACCACCCAACUACAUUGCUCUGGAUUUUACUCACCACCACUAGCUUUGAUUCCCCUCAGGACCUGUUUACACUGUUCUACUCAGCUAACUCCAACCUCAAUUCUCCACAUCUCGUUUUUCUGCAACUCAUCCAAGCUUCCCCUGAUCUGCACUCCAUAUCUCUCUGUGUAACUAUAAGUAUUUUGUUUCAUUCAUCCUUGUUACCUCAUCUGAGUCUGCUCUUGGGUUCCCCUGUGUCGCUCCGCCUAACAUAAAUAACAGCAAUAAAAGCUCUCUGUUUUUAGUUGCCAGUCAAUGAAACUACUAAUUAAAAACAUUCCACUCAGGAUAACAAUCACACUUUAAUAGGUCAAAUAAUAUGGAGAGGCUGUUCGAUAGCAAGAACUGGAGUAUCUUGAUUGGAUUUUUCCAACAAAAUUGGAUUACAAACAAUGAACAGCACACACUAAUAUAUAUAAAUUCACAUAAUUUAAAACAGUUAAUUUGGUUAUUUAAAUGCAUUGCAUCAUAGAUGUAACAACAAUAGAUAAAUGUAAAGUAAGAUCUCUACAUGGAAAUAGAGGAAUUGAGACAGAUCAUCAAUAAACCAGGAAAUUAAGAUCAUCAGUAAUGUUUUGAUCUGUCCUGUGUACCAGUCUGUACUAUCAUUCCAUUCCUUGCCACUCCAAACAUUUUACCUUUAUUUAACUAGGCAAGUCAGUUAAGAACCAAUUUUUAUUUUCAAUGACAGCCUAGGGGAACAGUGGGUUAACUGCCAGUUCAGUGGCAGAACGACAGAUUUGUACCAUGUCAGCUCGGGGGUUUUGAACUUGCAACCUUCCGGUUACUAGUCCAACGCUCUAACCACUAGGCUACCUGCCGCCUCUACACUCUAACCACUAGGCUACCCUGCCGCCCCAAAACAUGGCAUGACAAGAAGUGGCGAGGUGUGAAAUGAUAACAGAAACAGACUGGUACCCAGGAUAUUUUUUUUACCGAGGCUAGUUUUUUUAAUAAAUAUCCCAGAUGACGAGGAAGAAAAUUUUAACCAGCAUGCCAUCUGUCUAGUAACCUUCAGAAAACACAACACACAAAGGAGCAAUAGAGAAAACUAAAACAUAUUUCAUUCGUUACAGUAGUAACAACCUCUGAAUUAAUUUGGUCAGUUCAGAAGAGGAACUGCUUAUAUUGCACAUUAUUUAAAAACAGUAGCAUUUAUACAUUGAAGAAAAAAAGAUAACCAACACAUUUAUAUCAAACAUUAUUGCUUGUUGCACACAUAUACCUUCAUACUUGUAUUACAGCAAUGUUAAUACAUUACGUUAUUACAAUGUUAUUACAACUAUGUACAUCUGGCUUGUACCAACCAAAGCCUGUUCUUGUCCCUUCGAAGGAAAUAAACACAUUUAACAGAGUUCAUCCAGCCAUCUUGCAUCAGCCCAAUGCAUGUUCAUCAUGCAGCAGGCUAGAUCACAGCUGAUUGAUUCAUGCAAGGAGAAAUGGUAAGUGGAAGCGAGGCUAUCUGCCAGGGUAGGUUUAUUCCAAUCGGAAAGAGGUCAGGCUAUCUGCCAGGGUAGGUUUAUUCCAUGGGACAGAGGUCAGGCUAUCUGCCAGGGUAGGUUUAUUCCAUGGGACAGAGGUCAGGCAAUCUGCCAGGGUAGGUUUAUUCCAAUCGGAAAGAGGUCAGGCUAUCUGCCAGGGUAGGUUUAUUCCAUGGGACAGAGGUCAGGCAAUCUGCCAGGGUAGGUUUAUUCCAAUCGGAAAGAGGUCAGGCUAUCUGCCAGGGUAGGUUUAUUCCAUGGGACAGAGGUCAGGCAAUCUGCCAGGGUAGGUUUAUUCCAAUCGGAAAGAGGUCAGGCUAUCUGCCAGGGUAGGUUUAUUCCAAUCGGAAAGAGGUCAGGCUAUCUGCCAGGGUAGGUUUAUUCCAAUCGGAAAGAGGUCAGGCUAUCUGCCAGGGUAGGUUUAUUCCAUGGGACAGAGGUCAGGCAAUCUGCCAGGGUAGGUUUAUUCCUUGGGACAGAGGUCAGGCAAUCUGCCAGGGUAGGUUUAUUCCAAUCGGAAAGAGGUCAGGCUAUCUGCCAGGGUAGGUUUAUUCCAAUCGGAAAGAGGUCAGGCUAUCUGCCAGGGUAGGUUUAUUCCAUGGGACAGAGGUCAGGCAAUCUGCCAGGGUAGGUUUAUUCCUUGGGACAGAGGUCAGGCAAUCUGCCAGGGUAGGUUUAUUCCAAUCGGAAAGAGGUCAGGCUAUCUGCCAGGGUAGGUGUAUUCCUUGGCACAGACAGACCAGGGUAUCUGCUGUGUGGAAAGUAAGACAAGGUAGGAUGAUGUUGAUGUAAUGUCAGGAGCCCUCUUCACCCACACACCAGUCCUCA